rnacentral:rRNA from 1 species
UACGGAGGGUGCGAGCGUUGUCCGGAAUCAUUGGGCGUAAAGGGCGCGUAGGUGGCCCGGUCAGUUCGUGGUGAAAGCGCGGGGCUCAACCCUGCGUCGGCCAUGAAUACUGCCGCGGCUGGAGCACUGUAGAGGCAGGCGGAAUUCCGGGUGUAGCGGUGGAAUGCGUAGAGAUCCGGAAGAACACCGGUGGCGAAGGCGGCUCUCUGGACAGACACCGACGCUGAGGCACGAAAGCUAGGGGAGCAAACAGG